AACGAACGCUGGCGGCAUGCCUAACACAUGCAAGUCGAACGGGACCUUCGUGUCUAGUUGCGCUCGGGUGCGUAACGCGUGGGAAGCUGCCCUUAGGUACCGAAUACUUCCCCUUAGGGGGUGCUAAUACCGGAUAAUGUCUUCGGACCAAAGAUUUAUCGUCUUUGGAUGGGCCCGAGUUGGAUUAGCUAGUUGGUAGGGUAAAAGCCUACCAAGGCUACGAUCCAUAGCUGGUCUGAGAGGAUGAUCAGCCACACUGGGACUGAGACACGGCCCAGACUCCUACGGGAGGGAGCAGUGGGGAAUAUUGGACAAUGGGCGAAAGCCUGAUCCAGCAAUGCCGCGUGAGUGAUGAAGGCCGUAGGGUUGUAAAGCUCUUUUAGACGGGACGAUAAUGACGGUACCGGGAGAAUAAGCACCGGCUAACUCCGUG
rnacentral:rRNA from 1 species